CCUGACAACCAAGUACAAUGUACUCCAGGACAUCAUUGGGUCAGUGAUCACUGUAUAGCCAACCUAGCAAGAUGAUCAUUUACCUCUAAUGGGUACAUCCCUUCUGUUGACAUCACAAAGAGUCCAGCUUCCCUCAGGCAUUCCUGAGACUGACAGAUUUACGGUUCACCUGUUAACACCUCCUCUUCCUUCUGAUGAUGGUAAUGUUGAUGACAAUGCUGAAAGCAACUUGACUUACCCGAAGCCAGUUACUGACUUUGACAGUGUGAACAUGAACUUCCAAGAAUGUGAACAUGAUUCAACCUCUCCAUUCUCUGGGCAUUAUCUGGUUCUUGAUCCUUCAUUGAUUCGAGCAUCUUUGACAAUACGUUAAAGAAACCAAAAACUUUCCCAGUGCUUUUGAAUUGAACAUAAAAGGGAACCAAAG
rnacentral:lncRNA from 1 species